AUACGUAGGGGGCAAGCGUUAUCCGGAUUUACUGGGUGUAAAGGGAGCGUAGACGGUGUGACAAGUCUGAUGUGAAAACCCGGGGCUCAACUCCGGGAUUGCAUUGGAAACUGCCAUACUUGAGUGCAGGAGAGGUAAGCGGAAUUCCUAGUGUAGCGGUGAAAUGCGUAGAUAUUAGGAGGAACACCAGUGGCGAAGGCGGCUCACUGGACUGUAACUGACGUUGAGGCUCGAAAGCGUGGGGAGCAAACAGGAUUAGAUCCCCUGGUAGUCCACGCCGUAAACGAUGAAUGCUAGGUGUCGGGGGCAAAGCCCUUCGGUGCCGCCGCUAACGCAUUAAGCAUUCCACCUGGGGAGUACGUUCGCAAGAAUGAAACUCAAAUGAAUUGACGGGG
rnacentral:rRNA from 1 species